rnacentral:pre_miRNA from 1 species
UCUUAUGGAUAAGCAAAGAAAGUGGUUUCCUGAGAUGGAAUCUUCUCCUGAUGAAGGUGCUGUUAA